rnacentral:lncRNA from 1 species
CGGUUCUCUAAUUUGACUCAGCUUCAGAUUGGAAUGUUUCUCUCCUCACUGGGAAAAGCUCCUUUGGUCUCAGUGAACUCAGAGGUGGAGAAAGUCAUAAGAAUCAGGGAGCCUGCCCCAAAUUGCCUCCUAUGAUAACUUUCCACAAAGACUGGAGGGGAGGCUUCAAACAUCUUCCUGCAGUGUCCAGCAAGACAGCGAGGCAGACUCCCUUUCUCCUGCCAAAGCCACGUGGAGCCAGACAGAACCACAAGCAUACCUGUGGUGCUUGGAGGCCCAAGUAGAAACUUGAAUGCUCACGGCUGCAUUGGCAGCUUCUACUUGCCUGCCUGGAUCACCGUUCCUCAUGAGAACUUGGAAAAGCAGGACUAUCAUUCUUGCUUGACAGACGAAGAAACCAAGCCUCAGUUUUGUAGGCUCCUACCAGUGAAAGCCUCCUCACAACUCUCUUCUUCUCCCCAAGGACUGCGUGCAAUUCUACUUGGAGAUCUUCAUAACACCUUAAGGGAAAAAUCCUUUUUGAAAGAAAAACAAGUCUGGGUGGUGCUUGAAAAUUCAGAAGGCAGCUAGAAACUCUGCCAAUUACAACUGGUGAUUGCUGAGUUCUGGAGACAGACUGGGCUUCUGCUUUCUUUUGGUGGAGGUGUCUGCUUGCAGAAAAUUUAUGUUCUGGGAUUUACAACUUCAGGGAGACAAAGGAAACUCCAGCUCAUCUCCCACAUCAUUGAUUGAGAGGACCAUUUUCUGACUGUCUGCACACGUUUCCUAUACUACCCUUUAAUGCAACAAUGGGAUGAAGAGAUGAAGACUUCUAGCAGGCUACCUCAGAAAGGUUGCUGACCAAAGGCUGUAUGGACCAAAAAGUCAUAACACCACCCUGGAUGAAAGGACAUUUACCUAAGGAAUUACCCGCUCUCAAUUCUUCCCAGGUGCAUGUAGUAUAGAUUAAAUAAGGUGGUUGUAUGGCAACAGAGACAUUAUUAGAAACAUUCUUCUUGAAGUUUGACAACAAAGCAGUAGAUGUGUAUCUACUACAGAGUUGUUAGUGAAAAAAGGGAUGGGCAUUUGAAUUAUUUCCAGUUUUUGGCUAUUAUGAAAAAAACUGCUAUGAACAUUCAUACACAAGUGUGUGUGUGGACCCAUGUUUUCACUGAUCAAGGCCUAAAUACCUACGUGGUGCUUCGUGAACCCUGGAUGCUACAGUCUCUGGCCACAGCACUAAAUGUAUGCUGAGAUCUGGCUUCACGGUCG